CCUACGGGAGGCAGCAGUGGGGAAUAUUGGACAAUGGGCGAAAGCCUGAUCCAGCAAUGCCGCGUGAGUGAUGAAGGCCUUAGGGUCGUAAAGCUCUUUUACCAGGGAUGAUAAUGACAGUACCUGGAGAAUAAGCUCCGGCUAACUCCGUGCCAGCAGCCGCGGUAAUACGGAGGGAGCUAGCGUUGUUCGGAAUUACUGGGCGUAAAGCGUGCGUAGGCGGUUAUUCAAGUCAGAGGUGAAAGCCCGGGGCUCAACCCCGGAACGGCCUUUGAAACUAGAUAACUAGAAUCUUGGAGAGGUCAGUGGAAUUCCGAGUGUAGAGGUGAAAUUCGUAGAUAUUCGGAAGAACACCAGUGGCGAAGGCGACUGACUGGACAAGUAUUGACGCUGAGGUACGAAAGCGUGGGGAGCAAACAGGAUUAGAUACCCUGGUAGUCCACGCCGUAAACGAUGAUAACUAGCUGUCCGGACACUUGGUGUUUGGGUGGCGCAGCUAACGCAUUAAGUUAUCCGCCCGGGGAGUACGGUCGCAAGAUUAAAACUUAAANGAAUUGACGGNNGAGACNGCGAGACGACGACGAGGAGAG
rnacentral:rRNA from 1 species